rnacentral:rRNA from 1 species
CCCUUCGACGUCUGGGGCCGCACGCGCGCUACACUGAUGCAUUCAACGAGUUUCUUCCUGGUCCGAGAGGAAUGGGUAACCUUUUGAAAGUGCAUCGUGAUAGGGAUAGACUAUUGCAAUUAUUGGUCUUCAACGAGGAAUUCCUAGUAGACGUAGUUCAUCAGACUGCAUCGAUUACGUCCCUGCCCUUUGUACACACCGCCUGUCGCUCCUACCGAUUGAAUGCUCAGGUGAGCCAUUCGGACUUUCAUCAUGCUGGUUUCCAGUUUUGAUGAAGGAAAGUCUUGCGAACCUUAUCAUUUAGAGGAAGGAGAAGUCGUAACA